CUACAGAGGUGGCGAGCGUUGUUCGGAAUUACUGGGCGUAAAGGGCGCGUAGGCGGCCGCCUAAGUCAGACGUGAAAUCCCCAAGCUUAACUUGGGAACUGCGUCUGAUACUGGGGGGCUUGAGUUCGGGAGAGGAAUGUGGAAUUCCAGGUGUAGCGGUGAAAUGCGUAGAUAUCUGGAGGAACACUGGUGGCGAAGGCGGCAUUCUGGACCAAUACUGACGCUGAGGAGCGAAAGCCAGGGGAGCAAACGGGAUUAGAUACCCUGGUAGUCCACACUGUAAACGAUGAUAACUAGCUGUUGGCGAUACACAGUCAGUGGCCAAGCGAAAGCGAUAAGUUAUCCACCUGGGGAGUACGACUGCAAGGUUGAAACUCAAAGGAAUUGGCGGGG
rnacentral:rRNA from 1 species